GGCCAAAAAGGAGAACAGUAAAAAGCCAGUAGAGCAGGGGUCACCAACCUCCAGGAUCUAAUGCCUUGACAAUCUGAGAUGGAGCUGGUGUAGUAAUAGAAAAAAAGUUCACAAUAAAUGUAAUGUGCUCAAGUCGACCUGAAACCAUUCCCCUACCCCAUGCCCACUGAAAAAUUACCUUCCAGGAAGCCAGUGCCUGGUGCCAGAAAGGUUGGAGACUGCUUCACUCAAGGGUCUAGGAAGGGAAGGAACCAGGAUAACUUUGACAGGGCUUCCCUAACUGCUGACCAGACAGCGAAGGCGACAGCGCCCCUGCCAAAAUUGUGAAGCCAUUGCUGCUUGGGUGUCUAUUUAACUUUUCUCUUUGCUGUUGCAUUGAUUUAGGUGCAGCAGGAAGUGUUAGUUACCCCACAAAUUGUGCCUUGUUCUGUCAGAAGGUAAUCAAGGACUAGAUGAUUAUCAAGAGGUAAAUACAUUAACCCAAGUAACAAGAGAGGAUUAAGUCCCAUUAAAGCUUGCUCUUGUUGGUUUUAUCACAGAAUUAAGCUGUCUGGUGAGAUUUCUCAGUGUGGCUUCUUGAUAGGGAAAGCUACCCCAUGGAGCUACCAGUCCUGUGGCCAGCCCUAGGAAGUGAACAUUAUUAUUUAUUUAGGUAUUCAGCGGUAGACACUUGGGAUCUUUGAUUUUCCUUGCAACGUGUGUGAUCUAGUUCCUGACUAGGAAUGGAACCUGGGCCUCUGGCAUUGGGAGUGCAAAAUCUUGGCCCACUGGACCACCAGGGAAGUCCCUGAAGUAGACAUUGUUAAUGCAGUUAUAGGCCAUAGCUUGGACUUUCCCCGCGGCUCAACCAUAAAGAAAACUCCUGCCAUACGGGAGACAUUGAUUCAGUCCCUGGGUUGGGAAGAUCCCGUGGGGAAGGAAAUGGUGACCCCCACCAGGCUCCUCUGUCCAUGGGAUUUUCCAGGCAAGAAUACUGGAGUGGGUUUCCUCCUCCAGGGGGAAUCCCAACCCAGGGGUAGAACCCGGGUCCCUUGUGUCUCCCGCACUGGUAGGCGGAUUCUUUACCACAAGUGCACCUGGGGAGCCCUGUGUCUAGUCUUUACUGCCUUCUUUUCCCAUGUGCAUUCUGACAGAGUAAGGUAGUUGUAACUAUACACAGUAGGUUCUCCUUGACUAUCUACUGUAUAUAAGUGCGUCUGUGUUAAA
ensembl:lncRNA